AGUCCUUUACAACACGUUGCCACGCGCAUUUCUCAUUCUAACUCUUCAAAAAUCUGUGCUCCAAUUUUCUUCACAGUGCGUAUAUUGUGAAAACCCGGAUUUCGUCAUUUAUACAGUUUUGAAGCGGUAUUCGAAACACUAGUGCUGAUCGCUGAUUUGCAGCUGGUAAGCUAUAUUCGUUGUCCAAUCGAAUGUGACUGUUUUAAUGAGUGGUCCUUUGUGUCAUAUUUUUCUGGGACAAUAAGUUUUAUAAAGGGACUCGGUAUGACGGAUCCAGGUACAAGUGAGUGUUCAAGUAGUAACUGUGAAGGGGGAAGUGAAGGGAGCCUCUGGAAAGAUCCAGUAAAAAAAGCCACAACCACACCUUUUUCCAUCGAUACUCUUUUAUCGCUGGGACAAACAACAGACGAAGAUGAAAAUUCCACCGUUGAUAAUAAUGCAUCAAACUCUGGAAACGAGACAGAAACGGACUGUACCAAUGAAGGAUUCCUUGCAAGGCAAGCGGAACAAGAAGAUAGAAAGAAAAGACCCAGGACCGCAUUUACUGCAAUUCAAAUAAAAGCAUUGGAAGCCGAAUUCGAAAAAAAAUAAAUAUCUAUCGGUUGGAAAACGACUUCAACUUAGUAAAACUCUUCGUUUGUCAGAAACUCAGAUCAAAAUAUGGUUUCAAAACAGACGAACAAAAUGGAAGAGAAAGUACACAAACGAAUUGGAGAUACUGGCACAACAAUACUGCAGUUCACUUGGUGUAGUGGCUCCAAGACCUAUGUUUUUGGGGGAUCGACUAUGGUUCUUCAACUGUCCCAACUCGACUUUCCCAACUGCUCAACCAUUGACUCGCAAUGUACCGCAUCUGUAUCAACCAAUACCUGGAUGCUCAAUGGUAUAUUGCAAUCCUGCUGACCAUAGAUAGAGAAAAUACCCGGCGUGAAGAUAAUCAAAUUCUGGGUUAUCUUGAAAUUGAUCAACAGCGUUGAUAUUUUUUUCUAGGAUAUAAGCCUAAGCUUACCUAGGAUUAUUGAUCGAAGAUUAUUGCCUUUUUAUAUUAUGGUUUUGAGACUUCAAUUAUGUAAAAUCAAUGGAAACGGAUGGCUUGUCAAUGAAUAACAAGUGCAUAUUUGAAGAAUGUGCAAUUGUUCAAUCAUCAAUAUAAUGUAACAUCAUUGUACAAUAAGUACAAUCAUCCACAAAAAUGUAAUUGUAGUUUUCUAUUUCUUAGCCAUCUAUUUUAAGUUAUAGAUCAAAUAUCAUUUCGUUAACUCCGAUAAAUUUUUAAAAUAUCAAUGAAAAUAAAAAUGAUUAUGUUUUCUUAAUUGAUUUAUAAUUUCAUAACUUCGUUAAAAGGUAAAAUUCAUUUUAAAUUCAUUCGCUAUAAGUUCGUAACUUAUUAUGACAAAACUCAAGGCAAACUUUGUUAGAAGUCUGAAACAAAACAAAUGCCACUCGUUUUAAAUCUCCAUAAAUUCUCGUAUCUAAUUUCGGUGAAUUAGAAAUGAUUUUAUGUUUUUCAAAUGUGAAAUAAUUUUUUUUUCUCUUAUUGUAUGCCCGUAGCUUAUUGAAAAUAAUCAUCUUACAUAAUCAUCUAAUCAGAUAACUUAUUAGGCAUAGAAUUGUGAAAUUCAAUGAUAUCAUUUACAUAUAUUACAAAAAAUAUAGGUUGCAUAUACUGAUGUGAAAUUUUCAAUUUAUCUAUGUACUGUACUUCGGAGCAGUCACACUCUUGUGAAUGAAUUAUUGUCAUAAAUUAUAUAAUAUAAUAUAAUACUAUACUAUGAA
rnacentral:misc_RNA from 1 species